rnacentral:tRNA from 1 species
AAAUAUAUAGUAUAAUAAAUUACAUUUAAUUUCCAAUUAAAAAAUUUUUUUUUAUAAAAUAUAUUUA